AACUCCGGUCCCAACAACAUUGCUUCACCCACCUCAUCCCAACAUACUGGAGAAUGACACUUUCUUCCAUACAACGCCUCAAAUAGAGCCAUGUUAAUACUUGCUUGAUAAUUGUUGUUGUAGGAAAACUCCACCAAUGGUAAGAACUUGUCCCAACUUCCUUUGAAGUCAAGGACACAGAGUCUUAAUAAAUCUUCAAGAGUUUGAAUAGUCCUCUC
rnacentral:lncRNA from 1 species